UACGUAGGGUGCGAGCGUUGUCCGGAAUUAUUGGGCGUAAAGAGCUCGUAGGCGGCCUGUCGCGUCGGUUGUGAAAGCCCGGGGCUUAACCCCGGGUCUGCAGUCGAUACGGGCAGGCUAGAGUUCGGUAGGGGAGAUCGGAAUUCCUGGUGUAGCGGUGAAAUGCGCAGAUAUCAGGAGGAACACCGGUGGCGAAGGCGGGUCUCUGGGCCGAUACUGACGCUGAGGAGCGAGAGCGUGGGGAGCGAACAGG
rnacentral:rRNA from 1 species